rnacentral:rRNA from 1 species
AUUGAACGCUGGCGGCAGGCCUAACCCAUGCAAGUCGAGCGAGCGGCGGACGGGUGAGUAAUGUCUGGGGAUCUGCCCGAUCGAGGGGGAUAACUACUGGAAACGGUGGCUAAUACCGCAUACUAUAGGAUGACCCCAUAUGGGAUUAGCUAGUAGGUGGGGUAAAGGCUCACCUAGGCGACGAUCUCUAGCUGGUCUGAGAGGAUGACCAGCCACACGGGAACUGAGAAACGGUCCAGACUCCUACGGGAGGCAGCAGUGGGGAAUAUUGCACAAUGGGCGCAAGCCUGAUGCAGCCAUGCCGCGUGUAUGAAGAAGGCCUUAGGGUUGUAAAGUACUUUCAGCGGGGAGGCGUUACCCGCAGAAGAAGCACCGGCUAACUCCGUGCCAGCAGCCGCGGUAAUAC